UACGGAGGGGGCAAGUGUUGUUCGGAAUUACUGGGCGUAAAGGGCGCGCAGGCGGCUUGGCAAGUCGAGUGUGAAAUACCUCAGCUUAACUGGGGAGGGUCAUUCGAAACUGGUCGACUCGAAGGCAGGAGAGGGUAGUGGAAUUCCCGGUGUAGUGGUGAAAUGCGUAGAUAUCGGGAGGAACACCAGUGGCGAAGGCGACUACCUGGCCUGUUCUUGACGCUGAGGCGCGAAAGCUAGGGGAGCAAACGGG
rnacentral:rRNA from 1 species